GGAAUCUUCCACAAUGGACGCAAGUCUGAUGGAGCAACGCCGCGUGAGUGAAGAAGGUUUUCGGAUCGUAAAGCUCUGUUGUAAGAGAAGAACGUGUGUGAGAGUGGAAAGUUCACACAGUGACGGUAACUUACCAGAAAGGGACGGCUAACUACGUGCCAG
rnacentral:rRNA from 1 species